AAAGCGAGUGGCGACGGGUGAGUAACGCGUGGAUAACCUGCCAUAUACUGGGGGAUAACAGCUGGAAACAGCUGCUAAUACCGCAUAAAAACUGUAGAGUCGCAUGACUUUAUAGCCAAAGCUCCGGCGGUGUAUGAUGGAUCCGCGUCUGAUUAGGCAGUUGGCGGGGUAACGGCCCACCAAACCGACGAUCAGUAGCCGACCUGANAGGGUGACCGGCCACAUUGGGACUGAGACACGGCCCAGACUCCUACGGGAGGCAGCAGUGGGGGAAUAUUGCACAAUGGAGGAAACUCUGAUGCAGCGACGCCGCGUGAGCGAUGAAGUAUUUCGGUAUGUAAAGCUCUAUCAGCAGGGAAGAUAAUGACGGUACCUGACUAAGAAGCUCCGGCUAAAUACGUG
rnacentral:rRNA from 1 species